rnacentral:lncRNA from 1 species
AGCCCCGCUGUGCCCAAUCCCGGCGCUGCAGUGCGCGCGCCCGGCACCGGCCACCGCCACCUUCACCCAAUCGGCGCCCUGGACAGCGACGCAACGAAGCCUAGCCCCACGCAGCGGCUCCCCCACUCACUGCUCGGCCUUAUCACCUCGCCCGGCAGCCUCUCCUCGCACUCACUCCCCCUCCCCAAGCCUCCUGUCUCCGAACCAAAACUCCCAGUGCCAUUUGCAAACAACCGAGCUCCAGCACUUCCCUAUGUUCGCCGGCAAAAUCCUCCACGCUCCGUCCAUCUCCCUCCAAUAGCCCACGCCUGAAGCUCCUCCACUUCCUCAGCCACGCCCUCGACCACUCCCCGUCGCCCACCGUCCACGGAGCCGCCGGAAAUUGAAGUUUUCCCCCAACUUCAGGAACUCCACCCGCCGCCCCUUGCCUCAACGUGGUUCCCCAUGCUUUGGCCAUCAUCAUCCCCAACCAAGUGCUCAAAGCGAACCUAGGUGAGGCCCUGGUGCUCAUGCGCAUGCUUGUUCUUCUUGUUGGCCAAGUUUCCACGGUCGAUUUUGGUCAUGUCGUCGGUCGGGCGCGGUCUCUCGUCAACAGGUAGGUUAGGGUUGUUUUCUCGGGGAGAUGAGGGCAGGAGGAGGUGCGCUAGACCUUUGGGAUCGUUUUGGGGCAGUCACCGGCGAGGGGAAGGGCACAGCCGCGCCAGCGUGGGUGCGCCGCUGCCGGUCCUGCCAUGUUUUGGGCGUUCCUAUGUUCUGAUGCGGAGGUUGAAGGAGAUCAAGGACUUGUUCACGAGAGGAAAAGAAAGCCUAGGGGGUAUUCAUAAAGUUCUAGAUUUAUGUUUAGGGGGGGGAUCUGUCCAGGGGUGUAGGCGCAAAAAACUAGGGACCUUUGCACGAUUAAAGUGUAGACUUGAGGGCUAGAUUGCAAGUUUGCCUCGGUUUUCUUUAUUUCCUAGAAGCUUUAAAAAGGUAUAGAAAAGUGUAGAAAAAUGAUAAAAAUGCAAGAUAAAUUUUUUAGACUCAGUAUUCUGUGUAGUUUCAUAUAAAAAUAAGUUUGCACAUUUCUCUGUUAGAAUUAAUGUUAUAUGAUAUAAUCCUUGUUUAAGCUAUUUUAAAUCAUAGCAAAUCACAGAAAAAUGCUAAAAAGGUAAAUCUAACUCUCAAGUGCUUGUCUUAGAGAAUAAAAGCUUGGAAAAAUAAUUUGGAGCCUAUCUCAGAUGUUUAAGUCUCUGUUUUAGUUUUAUAACUACAAUCUAAGGUUUAAAUUAUCUUUUGCACAAUACUUAAUCCAGAGAGGAGAAAAAUGUGAAACCACAUGGAGCGGAUGAGUGAUGAAGUAUAGUUCACAAGGAAAGUAUGAAACCUUAUCUGAAAGUAAAUAAAACCCACUCUCCUUUUUAGAGAAAGAUAAAUAGGAGUAAUAUAUGAGAAAUAGAGGUCCUUCACCAAAAACUAUAAGAAAUUCACCAAAGGCUCUGUAUCACCCCUAUAACUCUCUGUUAAAAUUUCACGACCGAAUUUAUUAUGGUUUCUGUUUUAAAAAUGUUUAAGUGUAUGCUACCUUAGGGUAAUAAAGUAAUUCUAAUUCUUUUUAUGCACCUCCAAUGGACCUAAAAUUUAUGCAGUAGCAUAUCUAUGACAAAGUUGAGUUUUUGUUAAAUUUGUGGCUUCAUAGCUUACUAUUUGAAGAUAGAAAUAAAAUCUGGAAGAUGGACCUAACUAAAUGGAAGAAAGAAACCUUGAGUAAUGAUAAAGGUAAUUUUCGGAAGAGGUACAAAAGAACAUUCAGAAAUAUGAUAACUUUCCGCUCUGAAGUUUAAUAAAGUUAAGUUGUAUAUAUGUACACAAUCACCAUCACAUCAACCCCGAGUUUACACCAUAACACACCUUACUUUAUGCAGAUAAAGAAGGUGUAGAACCUUGUUUAGGUGAAUGUGGUCAUAAUGUAAUUUGAUACUUCAGUGCUAUUUCACGUUUUGCAUCCUAUAUGAGAAAGUAUGGAAGUUGAACUUGAUGCAUUUGCAUUUGUGUAGAGCUGAACCUCGCUGACGGGACAUACGAGCUUCACCUAGCGCCUGAAGAAGGAGCCGUAGCGGGUCUGCAUCACAUCGGAGCCGAGCCUAUACCGGAGCAAGCCGAGCACCAGUUUGCUAACUCCCCGUGUGAAGGCAAGCCCCAGAGCAUGAUUUCCUAUCUUUAAAUACUUGCAAUACAAUUGAUUGCUUUGAUUGCGCAUUUACGUUCUAGGAGUUGAUUGAAACCAUAGAUGCAUGAAUAUAGUACCCUUGAUCUGAACACUAGUAUGUUAAGUCGAGUAGUUGCAAUGCUUAAUAGGACUCGGUAAAGGUCGAGUGAUUUCCUGUCACUCGCGAGUUAUGGGAGUUGAUUGCUUUACUUAUGUUGCAACUAUAAGGACGAUGGACGGGGCCAGGCUUAUGUUCGGUACUUGAUGGUUUGCCCCGUCUGUCUACAUGAAAUUGGACUAAGGUCGAGAUGUGAUAGUGUUCGUGAUCAAGUGUUUGAAAGUACUAAUCUCAUACCUAGUAUGGGAUGGGGAAGCCUAGUAACUGAUUGAACCGGGACGUGAGCGGAUCGUUCCACUAUCUCUGGAAACUGAGUUUUUCCCCUGGUGCAUCAUGUGGUGACAAGUGUGGUCAUAGAACGGCAGAGGCUGGGUCUAUGGAGCCUUGUACCAAGGGAAGUGGGCCCGACACGGGUCUGGGAAUUGAUGGGAUGGCUGACAAAUGAAGCGACCUUUCGCGGUGCAUGGAUGUCAUGGGAUUAGGUUCGCCAUGCAUGGUUAAGAAAUUAAAAUUGAUUUGUCUGCCUCUCACAGUUUGGGGCUGCUUGAUCGCUAUGCUACACUGAGUAAGAAUGAAAGAUGAUGACCUUAGACCUGCACUAAUUGCUUGAAAACUAUGCUUGUUUAGUAUAGUUGCUAACUUAGACCGAAAAAUAAACGUCGAAUUUGUAACUAAAAUAUUGAAAGUAAGGAACUACACUAGUUGCUUUUGGCAAAAAUAAACCCCUCUAGCCAAAAAGCUUGCAUGUCUAGGUGUUGGUAGAAUAAUACCAUCGGUCGGCUAAGUCUUGAGCGUAGUCGCUCAGCCUUGUUGUGGCAUAUCUCUUUUCAGGUGUUGUUGAUGCCUCUGAGCUUGCUGCAAGUGGCACUUGGCCUCCCCAGCUUCCUCCAGGUUGGACGGUUGAGUAGGAUCUUUCCUCUUAUGGCGAGGAUCGGGAUCAUUGAUGUCAUGAUCGGCUUCGUCAUGAUAUCCUGCAACGACAUUAGCUUCCGCCUAGUUAUUUCGGUUGCCUGAACUCUACAAAUUAUGUUUGAAUUUCGAACUUGGUGUUGUAACAAUUUGAUGCACUUAUUUAAUCUGGAUGGACUAUUGUAAUCUCUGGAACCACUCACCUUCGUGUGAGCUCUGCUUUCUCGAUCCGGUGUUAAGUUUUUUAUCGGAUGAAAUCCGACGGACCACUGAGUUAACUUGAUUAAAGU